UGUGAGCUAGAUGCUGGGUUUGUGGGC
rnacentral:piRNA from 1 species